CGAACGAGGUUUUGCCCGUUGCUAUCUUCGAGCGAAGCGAGGAAGAGAUCAAAUUUAUAAUCUGGCACCUUCGGUGUCCGAGUUGUAAUCUCUAGAAAUGUUUUCCGCGUUGGACCGCACACAAGUCUGUUGGAAUACAGCGGCAUAGUGGUGAGACCCCCGUAUAUGGUGCGGACGCCCAGCGCUUUGUGAUACAUUUUCGAAGAGUCGAGUUGUUUGGGAAUGCAGCUCAAAUUGGGUGGUAAAUUCCAUCUAAAGCUAAAUAUUGGCGAGAGACCGAUAGCGAACAAGUACCGUGAGGGAAAGAUGAAAAGCACUUUGGAAAGAGAGUUAACAGUACGUGAAAUUGUUGGAAGGGAAACGCUUGAAGUCAGACUUGCUUGCCGAGCAAUCGGUUUGCAGGCCAGCAUCAGUUUUCCGGGAUGGAUAAUGGUAGAGAGAAGGUAGCAGUUUCGGCUGUGUUAUAGCUCUCUGCUGGAUACAUCUUGGGGGACUGAGGAACGCAGUGUGCCUUUUGGCGGGGGUUUCGACCUCUUCACACUUAGGAUGCUGGUGGAAUGGCUUUAAACGACCCGUCUUGAAACACGGACCA
rnacentral:rRNA from 1 species